rnacentral:misc_RNA from 1 species
AAAUUCAACAUCCAUCUUAUCAAAAGGGUUAUAGAACAACUCUUUUAGAGCAGCUUUUGCCACUUGAAGCUUUGCAUUUUCUUUGUGCUCAGACGAAGCUGAUGCAAUAAAUUGUCCAUCAAGAUAGACGCUAGCUAUGUUUUUAUCUCCUCUUUCCGAUGUUCUACAUCAACUUGUUUUCCAUCCUUUUUGCAAAGUCCAAACAACAUUUUUACAGGCUGUGGUUGUUCUUCCAACGUAUUCAGCAUAACAAUAGGCUCUAGGAAGCCUCUGAAGAUCUAAAUCAAAAAAGGCAACUAGAUAUCUAAACAUCAGGACGUCAUUUCUCUUUGUAAAACAAGAAUGUCCUAUUUAUAGCUCAACAAAAUAAUUGUAUUCAUAAGACAUUGAUGAAAUCUCUGAAAUAAAUCAAUCAUUGGAGCAAAGAAAGAAAUGCUACAUCUGCCUACAGGUGCCUGUCUGGGCAAAUUGGAUCCCAUGGGCUUUCUCAUUGAAUCACUCACCAAUUUUCUGCAAUUGUAAUACCUCAUCAUUUCUUCCCUUCCAAGUUAGAUUUUCAAUGAUACGAAACCCAAAUAUGAG